UGUGAGCUCGAUGAGUAGGGCGGGACACGUGGUAUCCUGUCUGAAUAUGGGGGGACCAUCCUCCAAGGCUAAAUACUCCUGACUGACCGAUAGUGAACCAGUACCGUGAGGGAAAGGCGAAAAGAACCCCGGCGAGGGGAGUGAAAAAGAACCUGAAACCGUGUACGUACAAGCAGUGGGAGCCCCACCACCAAAGCAUUCUCUGGUGUUGAAGGCCCUGCAAAGCAGCAUCGCGGUGGCGGAGCGUCGUUUGCGACGCCCAACACACAAAACAAGCGGUGAGUGCUUUGGGGUGGGGUGACUGCGUACCUUUUGUAUAAUGGGUCAGCGACUUAUAUUCUGUAGCAAGGUUAACCGAAUAGGGGAGCCGGAGGGAAACCGAGUCUUAAUUGGGCGUUAAGUUGCAGGGUAUAGACCCGAAACCCGGUGAUCUAGCCAUGGGCAGGUUGAAGGUUGGGUAACACUAACUGGAGGACCGAACCGACUAAUGUUGAAAAAUUAGCGGAUGACCUGUGGCUGGGGGUGAAAGGCCAAUCAAACCGGGAGAUAGCUGGUUCUCCCCGAAAGCUAUUUAGGUAGCGCCUCGUGAAUUCAUCUCCGGGGGUAGAGCACUGUUUCGGCUAGGGGGCCAUCCCGGCUUACCAACCCGAUGCAAACUGCGAAUACCGGAGAAUGUUAUCACGGGAGACACACGGCGGGUGCUAACGUCCGUCGUGAAGAGGGAAACAACCCAGACCGCCAGCUAAGGUCCCAAAGUCAUGGUUAAGUGGGAAACGAUGUGGGAAGGCCCAGACAGCCAGGAUGUUGGCUUAGAAGCAGCCAUCAUUUAAAGAAAGCGUAAUAGCUCACUGGUCGAGUCGGCCUGCGCGGAAGAUGUAACGGGGCUAAACCAUGCACCGAAGCUGCGGCAGCGAACGUAUCACUUAAAGCGAUUCAGCGGGUUACGAUUGACGGAGCGAAGCGACGUCAAAGCGUAUACAAAGUCGAGUCGGUUUAAGGAUACGUUCGUUGGGUAGGGGAGCGUUCUGUAAGCCUGUGAAGGUGUGUCGUGAGGCAUGCUGGAGGUAUCAGAAGUGCGAAUGCUGACAUAAGUAACGAUAAAGCGGGUGAAAAGCCCGCUCGCCGGAAGACCAAGGGUUCCUGUCCAACGUUAAUCGGGGCAGGGUGAGUCGACCCCUAAGGCGAGGCCGAAAGGCGUAGUCGAUGGGAAACGGGUUAAUAUUCCCGUACUUGGUGUUACUGCGAAGGGGGGACGGAGAAGGCUAUGUUGGCCGGGCGACGGUUGUCCCGGUUUAAGCGUGUAGGUGUGUGUUCCAGGUAAAUCCGGUUCACUUUAACACUGAGGCGUGAUGACGAGGCACUACGGUGCUGAAGCAACAAAUGCCCUGCUUCCAGGAAAAGCCUCUAAGCAUCAGGUAACAUCAAAUCGUACCCCAAACCGACACAGGUGGUCAGGUAGAGAAUACCAAGGCGCUUGAGAGAACUCGGGUGAAGGAACUAGGCAAAAUGGUGCCGUAACUUCGGGAGAAGGCACGCUGACAUGUAGGUGAAGUGAUUUACUCAUGGAGCUGAAGUCAGUCGAAGAUACCAGCUGGCUGCAACUGUUUAUUAAAAACACAGCACUGUGCAAACACGAAAGUGGACGUAUACGGUGUGACGCCUGCCCGGUGCCGGAAGGUUAAUUGAUGGGGUCAGCGCAAGCGAAGCUCCUGAUCGAAGCCCCGGUAAACGGCGGCCGUAACUAUAACGGUCCUAAGGUAGCGAAAUUCCUUGUCGGGUAAGUUCCGACCUGCACGAAUGGCGUAAUGAUGGCCAGGCUGUCUCCACCCGAGACUCAGUGAAAUUGAACUCGCUGUGAAGAUGCAGUGUACCCGCGGCAAGACGGAAAGACCCCGUGAACCUUUACUAUAGCUUGACACUGAACAUUGAGCCUUGAUGUGUAGGAUAGGUGGGAGGCUUUGAAGCGUGGAC
rnacentral:rRNA from 1 species